rnacentral:lncRNA from 1 species
AUCGAAAUCCCCCUAAUUUAUUUCGAAAUUACAUAAUACUUUCAUGAGUUAUUUUUAAUUUAGUUUAGGAUUAAUUUUCUUGAAAAUUACAUGUGUUAUGUUAAUGCAAUAAAAUGUUAGAUAUAAAUCUAAUGCUUAUACACCUAGUAAGAUUAAUCUUAUGUAUGUGCUUGAGAAGCAAGAAUGUGUAUUUUGACGAUUUCUAUAUUGCUUUUCAAUGACGAUGCAUGACUUUUGAAAGGAAGGCUUGAUGAUUUUUUUAUGAACCUUUUCUUUGGUUUUCAAACAUGAUGUAUGGUUUUGACAUAUGAACAAAAUUUGAGCAUGCUAAGAUAAAGUUAAUCAUAUAAAUUAAAACUAAAGAAGUUUUAGUUAUCUAUAAGAAUCAUUCAAAAUUAUGUUCAAUAAAAAUGCAAAAUGAUGGAAUGAAAAUAUUAAAUGUUUUAAUACCAUUUUAUGCAUGAGAUUUUAAAAGUUAUACAUAAUGAUCUUGAUGGUUGUUAUGAAGAAAUUUAUUUUUCGAUCCUAAAUGAUUGAUGAUAUAUAUAUAUUUUUUGGCACAAAAAGGACAAAGGCAUACUUAUAUGAAACAACUAAAUAGAUAAAAGUAUUUUUCUUGAAAAUUCUUGGUUUGAUGAAUCUAUUUUAUCAUCUUUUUAUGAAUAUCUUGAAAAUGAUUUUG